AACGAACGCUGGCGGCGUGCCUAACACAUGCAAGUCGAACGGAAUGAGGGGGCUUGCUCCUUCAUUUAGUGGCGCACGGGUGAGUAACGCGUAGAUAAUCUGCCUGAUGAUCUGGGAUAACAUCUCGAAAGGGGUGCUAAUACCGGAUAAGCCCACGGGGUCUUUGGACUCUGCGGGAAAAGGGGGGGACCUUCGGGCCUUCUGUCAUCAGAUGAGUCUGCGUACCAUUAGCUAGUUGGUAGGGUAAUGGCCUACCAAGGCGACGAUGGUUAGCUGGUCUGAGAGGAUGAUCAGCCACACUGGAACUGAGACACGGUCCAGACUCCUACGGGAGGCAGCAGUGGGGAAUUUUGCGCAAUGGGCGAAAGCCUGACGCAGCAACGCCGCGUGAGUGAUGAAGGCUUUCGGGUCGUAAAGCUCUGUCAAGGGGAAAGAAGUGUAUUGUGGUUAAUACCCGCGAUACUUGACGGUACCCCUAAAGGAAGCACCGGCUAACUCCGUGCCAGCAGCCGCGGUAAUACGGAGGGUGCAAGCGUUGUUCGGAUUUAUUGGGCGCAAAGCGCGUGUAGGCGGUUUAUUAAGUCUGAUGUGAAAGCCCUGGGCUCAACCCAGGAAGUGCAUUGGAUACUGGUAGACUUGAAUACGGGAGAGGGCAGUGGAAUUCCUGGUGUAGGAGUGAAAUCCGUAGAUAUCAGGAGGAACACCGGUGGCGAAGGCGGCUGCCUGGACCGAUAUUGACGCUGAGACGCGAAAGCGUGGGUAGCAAACAGGAUUAGAUACCCUGGUAGUCCACGCCGUAAACGAUGAGUACUAGGUGUUGCGGGUAUUGACCCCUGCAGUGCCGCAGCUAACGCAUUAAGUACUCCGCCUGGGAAGUACGGUCGCAAGACUA
rnacentral:rRNA from 1 species